GAUGAACGCUGGCGGCGUGCCUAAUACAUGCAAGUCGAGCGAACGGACGAGAAGCUUGCUUUUCUGAUGUUAGCGGCGGACGGGUGAGUAACACGUGGAUAACCUACCUAUAAGACUGGGAUAACUUCGGGAAACCGGAGCUAAUACCGGAUAAUAUUUUGAACCGCAUGGUUCAAAAGUGAAAGACGGUCUUGCUGUCACUUAUAGAUGGAUCCGCGCUGCAUUAGCUAGUUGGUAAGGUAACGGCUUACCAAGGCAACGAUGCAUAGCCGACCUGAGAGGGUGAUCGGCCACACUGGAACUGAGACACGGUCCAGACUCCUACGGGAGGCAGCAGUAGGGAAUCUUCCGCAAUGAGCGAAAGCCUGACGGAGCAACGCCGCGUGAGUGAUGAAGGUCUUCGGAUCGUAAAACUCUGUUAUUAGGGAAGAACAUAUGUGUAAGUAACUGUGCACAUCUUGACGGUACCUAAUCAGAAAGCCACGGCUAACUACGUG
rnacentral:rRNA from 1 species